CCUACGGGUGGCAGCAGUGAGGAAUAUUGGUCAAUGGACGAGAGUCUGAACCAGCCAAGUAGCGUGAAGGAUGACUGCCCUAUGGGUUGUAAACUUCUUUUAUAUGGGAAUAAAAUGUUCCACGUGUGGGAUUUUGUAUGUACCAUAUGAAUAAGGAUCGGCUAACUCCGUGCCAGCAGCCGCGGUAAUACGGAGGAUCCGAUCGUUAUCCGGAUUUAUUGGGUUUAAAGGUAGCGUAGGUGGAUUGUUAAGUCAGUUGUGAAAGUUUGCGGCUCAAACGUAAAAUUGCAGUUGAAACUGGCAGUCUUGAGUACAGUAGAGGUGGGCGGAAUUCGUGGUGUAGCGGUGAAAUGCUUAGAGAUCACGAAGAACUCCGAUUGCGAAGGCAGUUCACUGGACUGCAACUGACACUGAGGCUCGAAAGUGUGGGUAUCAAACAGGAUUAGAUACCCCUGUAGUC
rnacentral:rRNA from 1 species